rnacentral:rRNA from 1 species
UACGUAGGUGGCAAGCGUUGUCCGGAUUUAUUGGGUUUAAAGGGUGCGUAGGCGGCCCUAUAAGUCAGUGCUGAAAUAUCCCGGCUUAACCGGGAGGGUGGCAUUGAUACUGUAGGGCUUGAGUCGAGUUGAGGUUGGCGGAAUUGACGGUGUAGCGGUGAAAUGCUUAGAUAUCGUCAAGAACACCGAUAGUGAAGACAGCUAACUAAGCUCAAACAUGACGCUGAGGCACGAAAGUGUGGGGAUCAAACAGG